GUUCUGCUCUGACCCAGAGGUGGAUGUGUGUGGGUUUUUAAGAAACAGAAAUGAAACUAGAACGACACCUCUUCCUUUACCACCGCCCUCAACAACGCCCAGCGGCUAGCUUCCUUCCUACAGGCAAUGGUCAAGGUGAUUAUCUAGCAAAGAAACGUUUGAGACGGUCAGCCCUUGACCCCACUCCAAGUCCUAUGAGAUACACCUGGCCUGCAGUUGGCCCCUAAGGAAGCUGGAACUUGGUGUAAAGACUCUGGCCGUGGGAUGGAGCUGUAGGUGACCAGAGCACUUGCUUGGUGUGUG